GCCCUCGUAGUUCAAUGGAUAGAAUGCGAGCUUGCGGAGCUUGUGAUGCAGGUUCGAUUCCUGCCGGGGGCA
rnacentral:tRNA from 1 species